UUUGAUUUGGUUGUGAUGGUUCUUAUGAAUUGAAGUAAAGGAGGGCGUCUUAUGUUUGAAGUUGCCCGUAAAGUGAAGGAAUUUAUUUUCCUUCUCAAAAAAUAAUUUUUUUUCUUAACUUUCCCUCCUUUCAUACAUUUUUUUUCAUCUGACCCUUAGACAAUCUUACCUCGCUCCAUCUUUGGAGAUACGUUGUAACAUGGCAUAUCUGCAAGAACAUUUCUAUGAUAAAUAUGAUGUUAAAGUAAGGUCAUGUGUUUCAUGUUUGAGAAACUAUAGCCAACACACCAAUUUGGAUUUGUCUCAAACCAAUGUAACCUGUCAUUGUUCAUUAGAGCCUGUAUUAGACUUGUAAAUAUCUUGGUUUAUGUAGAUGACACUUUGGUCACAGAGCUCUCCUUAGCUCAUUCAAGAUCCGAUUGAUUUCUGCUAUCUAUAUAAUCUAUUUGUACUGAAAGACCUUAGUGAUCUUUAUUUAAUAUUUCUUUUGAAUAGAAGUCAAG
rnacentral:lncRNA from 1 species